ensembl:lncRNA
GAUUGUAACAGAAACACAAGAGGUAAAGCCAAACAUUCCAGUGGCUGCCUGUUACCAGGUAGAUGAAACCAGGAAAAGGGAAUAACACCAAGAUCUUGCCUUUAUAAAUCUUGCAAUAACCAACACCAUCUUUUCACAUGUAUUAUGUUUAAUAUGGGAAUGUCAGUAGAUCUGGUUCUACUUAAAUUUAUGUUUUGUGGGAGUUACAAUUUCACUUGUUUGUAUGUAUAAAUAGAGAGGAAAUUACUUACUUACAAGAUUCUGGGCAGGGAUUAUUAUGAUGUUGAUAAGACUGUGUUAGCAUGUGCUUAGAAAUUCUCAAAAAUGGAAGACACAUAUAGACCCUAGAUUGAACAGUAGUUAAUAUUUAUUGCACAGUUACUAAGCACCAGACACUGUGUUAAUUGCUUUCCAUGCUCUAUAUCAGUUGAUACUCUCAACAAGGCUGUGAAGAAAGGGCUAUUAGUGUUUCCAUUUUAAGGAUGAGGAAAUUGAGACUUAUCAGGAAUAACUAAUUUGUCUGGGGUCACACAGCUGGUAAGUGAAAGAGACAGAAUUUAAUCCUGGCAAUUUGGUAUUAGAGCCCUUGCUUUGAGUCACUUUGCCAUUCUGUCUCAAUUUAAACCCAUGAUAUCAAGCUCAAAGGAGAUGACUUUUCAGGGAUUCAAAAUAUAUGUAACAAACAGAAAGAAUAAGAUAUUCACUCAAAAACAUUGUACAGACCAAAAAUAUUUAUAGACAAACUCAAGAUUCCUAGCUUGAGAUAGAGCUACUAAAGGAAAGUUGGAUAAACUAGAAACAUAACCCUAAGCUGCUUAGGAUAAUAAAUAGGGGAAAUUCAAAAUACAGGCUAGUUAGUAUUGAAUUUAACUGCCAAGAACAAAAGAACUCUCAUAGUGAUUUAUAGUAGGUAAGAAAUUUAUUUCUCUCUUAUGUAAAUGUAGGCACUUAGGUCUUAUUGCUCUUCCCACCUCUACAAGUGUCUUUGAUCUGGUUCAAGAGGGCUGCUGUAGCUCCAGCCAUUAUAUCUGUAUUCCAGCUAGCAGGAGAGGGGAAAGGAAGAGACAGACACACCCUCUCCCUGAAGGACGCUUCCUGAAAACUGUACACAUCAUUUCCAUUUACAGCCCAUUGGCCAGGAUUUCAUCACAUGGGCCAUACCCAUUUGCAAGGGAGGCAGAGAUACGCGGCUUUUCUUCUAAGAGGCCAUAUACAGAGCAAAACAGAGAGACUGGGUAGAGAGAAUGGAUAUUGGUAGCACGAUGAGCAGCAUGUCACAGAAUAACAAGACUUUACAGUCAGGUCACUUCUCUUCUGUCUUUGAAAACGUCAACACCCAUCCCCUCCAUUUCAACCAUGUUUAACUACUUGCAUUUACCUAAGCACACUAGACCCUGCUCAUACUAGGGGCCUUUUCUCUCUGCCUGGUUGAGCUUCUGUGCCUCCCUUCUCUUCUCCAGCUUCUUCCCUCCUACCUCUUUGUCAAUCCCCAUUCUCCUGUGGAUUGCUCUGAUGAUCCUCUUCUCCCCUUUCCCCAGCAGCUGCCUCUUCUCUGAGAUCCACAGCCUCUGUGUUUCCCUCUUAUGUGGCUCUCAAUACAUCAUCACCAGCUGCUAUGGUUGGAAUGAGUCCCCCAAAAUUCAUAUGUUGGGAACUUAAUCUCCAAUGCCACACUGUUGGAACGUGGGGCCUUUGUGGAGGUGUUUAGGUCACAAGGGCUCUGAUUUCAUGAAUGGACUAAUGCCACUACAAAAAAAAAAAAAAAAAAAA